rnacentral:ncRNA from 1 species
UUUCCCUCAGGAUAGCUAGAGUUGAACAGUUUUAUCAGGUAAAGCGAAGGAUAAGAGGAUUCGGGACGCGUUGUCUUCGACCUAUCCUCAAACUUUAAAUGGGUAAGAUCCACAGUGGUAACUUGAUUGAACUUCUGGGAUAAAUGAAAACUUGAAGUGGGCCAGUUUUGGUAAGCAGAACUGGCGAUGAGGGAUGUGCCUAACGUUGGGCUAAGGUGACCAGGUGCUUAAUUGCAUGCCCAUCAGAUACCACAACCCUUCUUUCGGAGCUCUGAUGUUUCGAAC